GAUGAACGCUGGCGGCGUGCCUAAUACAUGCAAGUCGAGCGAACGGACGAGAAGCUUGCUCCUCUGAUGUUAGCGGCGGACGGGUGAGUAACACGUGGAUAACCUACCUAUAAGACUGGGAUAACUUCGGGAAACCGGAGCUAAUACCGGAUGAUAUUUUGAACCGCAUGGUUCAAAAGUGAAAGACGGUCUUGCUGUCACUUAUAGAUGGAUCCGCGCUGCAUUAGCUAGUUGGUAAGGUAACGGCUUACCAAGGCAACGAUGCAUAGCCGACCUGAGAGGGUGAUCGACCACACUGGAACUGAGACACGGUCCAGACUCCUACGGGGAGCAGCAGUAGGGAAUCUUCCGCAAUGGGCGAGAGCCUGACGGAGCAACGCCGCGUGAGUGAUGAAGGUCUUCGGAUCGUAAAACUCUGUUAUUAGGGAAGAACAUAUGUGUAAGUAACUGUGCACAUCUUGACGGUACCUAAUCAGAAAGCCACGGCUAACUACGUG
rnacentral:rRNA from 1 species